UAUCCGCGAACAAGUGACUAAAGAAAACCGAACAAACAUGGGCCGUAACUACCUGUCGUUUGCUAUGGCUAGUAACUAAGCGAAUUAGCGCGAAGAUUGACUGUGACUUAUGCACGGCCUUCAUAUCCAGGGACUUACAAAUGCGCGUGCUUAGUUACGCUGCUGGAAAUUUAUGCACAUGUGCAGAGUUGAACACAAAAAAGACAUGGUGUGGAUGCACCUUAAAAGUUAGUUAUUCAAGAUAACCUUUGAGGCACUUGUCCUCAGAGUUGGAUUUGCAUUCAGAUUGAAGAUAGACCUUUAUGUUUGUUAAUGAUGGAUCUAGACACAUUGUUUAGGAUGCCAGUACUAAACACUCUGUACACCAACUAGAUUAUAAUUUUGGAUCAGGAAUGCUACCCUGAUAUGUCGGAGCUCCUCUACUUUUCACUCCAAGAUGUCGCCCAAUAUGAUGUGUUAUUUGACAAUUUCCAGGCAGUCUUCUGAACUUCAGAAAUCUGUUGCAUAUCCAAAUACAGAGAUGCGUCAACAGGAGGAAUAUGGUGCUGCGAUCGGCAAUACCUAUAUAAGACAAAAAGUGUCUGCAGCGUUUGUUAGAUUGGUUACAGCUGCUACAAUGGCAGGUUAUCAAGAUGUGAGUUUGAACGUGGUGUUAUAGUCGGCACACGAGCGAUGGGGGCAGUGGACUCAGCCCUGUGCUUGCCAUAGGCUACGGCCACUGCAGGCUUCCUGCGCGUUCCGGCGUGCACAGAACCAUUGUUCAGUUAUGUUCUUCCUAAAAACAGUAUACCCUGUAUGGUCACAGUGGUGAUAGUUUCUGAUAACCACGAAAGAGAUCUUCGAAACUAACCAACACUUUCAUUGUUCAUUUUGGACCGAAAAACAGUUGGUUUAGAAAAACAAUAGGAACUUUUUUAACAGUAAUUCCUGUAACUUGAGGCUUACAGCAUCGAUAUGUAUGUCUAUAACAUAUUAAAAUUUCAUUAACAUUGAA